UUAACUAUUAUAUAUUUCUCAGACAAUUUAAAUACAAGAAUGAUUGCAACUCUGGCAAACCCACGCAUAACGUGUGUUUACCAAAGCAACUUGGUGUGGUAUUCAGGACGGGAGAUAUACCCAAAGGGCAAGUUCUCUCUAAUGAUCCUUCCGCAGGUUCACCUACGGAAA
rnacentral:misc_RNA from 1 species